rnacentral:rRNA from 1 species
GAUGAACGCUAGCGGCAGGCUUAAUACAUGCAAGUCGAGGGGCAGCAUGAUUGUAGCAAUACAAUUGAUGGCGACCGGCAAACGGGUGCGGAACACGUACACAACCUUCCAACAAGUGGGGGAUAGCCCAGAGAAAUUUGGAUUAAUACCCCGUAACAUAGCGAUGUGGCAUCACAUUGCUAUUAUAGAUUUUUCGCUUGUUGAUGGGUGUGCGGCUGAUUAGAUAGUUGGCGGGGUAACGGCCCACCAAGUCUACGAUCAGUAGCUGAUGUGAGAGCAUGAUCAGCCACACGGGCACUGAGACACGGGCCCGACUCCUACGGGAGGCAGCAGUAAGGAAUAUUGGACAAUGGACGCAAGUCUGAUCCAGCCAUGCCGCGUGAAGGAUUAAGGUCCUCUGGAUUGUAAACUUCUUUUAUAGGGGGCGAAAAAAGGGAAUUCUUUCUCGUCUGACGGUACCCUAUGAAUAAGCACCGGCUAACUCCGUGCCAGCCGCCGCGGUAACAC